rnacentral:rRNA from 1 species
UGCAGUCGAGGGGUAUUGGUUUUCCGACCAGAGACCGGCGCACGGGUGCGUAACGCGUAUGCCAUCUACCUUUUACAGAGGGAUAGCCCAGAGAAAUUUGGAUUAAUACCUCAUAGUAUUAUUUACUGGCAUCAUUAAAUAAUUAAAGUUCCAACGGUAAAAGAUGAGCAUGCCUCCCAUUAGCUAGAUGGUAAGGUAACGGCUUACCAUGGCGACCAUGGGUAGGGGUCCUGAGAGGGAGAUCCCCCACACUGGUACUGAGACACGGACCAGACUCCUACGGGAGGCAGCAGUGAGGAAUAUUGGUCAAUGGGCGCAAGCCUGAACCAGCCAUGCCGCGUGCAGGAUGAAGCAUCUAUGGUGUGUAAACUGCUUUUGUACGAGAAGAAACACUCCUACGUGUAGGAGCUUGACGGUAUCGUAAGAAUAAGGACCGGCUAACUCCGUGCCAGCAGCCGCGGUAAUACGGAGGGUCCAAGCGUUAUCCGGAAUCAUUGGGUUUAAAGGGUCCGUAGGCGGUUUUGUAAGUCAGUGGUGAAAGCCCAUCGCUCAACGGUGGAACGGCCAUUGAUACUGCAAAACUUGAAUUAUUGGGAAGUAACUAGAAUAUGUAGUGUACCGGUGAAAUGCUUAGAUAUUACAUGGAAUACCAAUUGCCAAAGCAGGUUACUAUCAAUAUAUUGACCCUGAUGG